GACGGGGGAUGCAAGUGUUAUCCGGAAUCACUGGGCGUAAAGCGUCUGCAGGUGGUUUCCUAAGUCCACUGUUAAACCUUGAGGCUCAACCUCAAAUCUGCAUUGGAAACUAGGAGACUUGAGUAUAGUAGGGGUAGAGGGAAUUUCCGGUGGAGCGGUGAAAUGCGUAGAUAUUGGAAAGAACACCGAUGGCGAAGGCACUCUACUGGGCUAUUACUGACACUCAGAGACGAAAGCUAGGGGAGCAAAUGGG
rnacentral:rRNA from 1 species